rnacentral:rRNA from 1 species
UUGUCUUUUAAAUAAAGACCAGUAUGAAUGGCAAGACGAAAGUUCAACUGUCUCCCUAAAUUAAUCAAUGAAAUUGAUCUUCCCGUGCAGAAACGGGAAUAAAAUUAUAAGACGAGAAGACCCUAUGGAGCUUUAAAUAUAUGAUCAACUGUGUAAUAUAAAAUUCAACAGAUUAAAUAUUAAAUAAAACAUUAUGAUCAAAAUUUUAGGUUGGGGCGACCACGGAGAAAAACAAAACCUCCGAGAUGAAAAGAGUAUCUUAAUUUAUGAACUACAGUUCUAAUAAAUAAAAUAUUUAACAUAAUUGAUCCAAUAUAUUGAUCAACGAACUAAGUUACCCUAGGGAUAACAGCGCAAUCCUUUCCAAGAGUCCCUAUCGACGAAUGGGUUUACGACCUCGAUGUUGGAUCAGGACACCCCAAUGGUGCAGCCGCUAUUAAAGGUUCGUUUGUUCAACGAUUAAAGU